GUGCAUGGGACUGUCAAUCAGCCAUAACUCAGUUUUCUGUUGGGCAUUUGAAAGUAAACCUGCCACAGCUUGUUACAAUUAAAAUGAGCUGGGUUAGCAAAGAUUAAGCACUACGAUUUAAAUGGUUAAAGAUAAAAUGCCUCGUUGCUUCAUUUCAGCUGAAACAGAUUAAGCAACACUUGUAGGCCCAGCCUUAUUGUCAGAACAGGUAAUAAGUUCCAGGGCUGGGGUGAUGAAGAUGUGGGAGCAAUUAGCAGUUCCACUGGCACACAAGAGGAUUCCUAUCGACAGCCACAGAGUCCUUGGGUCGUGGCACUGUAGUCAUUAACACCACAUCCAUCCAUUUCUGGAUUACCUGGCAGUGCAAAUUUGAGACACUUCAUGUCUAGGACAACAAAGGAAAUCUAUGGAUGUCUGAAAAAUAAUCCUUCCAUCCUGAGAAGCAGCAUCUGGAGGACAGUACUGUAUCACUUCAGGCUAAAGAUCAGCUUCAUUUUGUCGGCUUUUGCAGUGUUAGCAGCAAUCCCGUGCAUGAUUGAUGACCAUUUGGUAAAGCAGUAGACAGAGAUGUAAUCUGCAACCCAUUCCAACAUGCUUUAUCAUACUGUUUUUUACUUGUCUGUGGGUUUGUUUUCAUUUUACUCCAAGCAAUUCUGAUUAGGAAAAACAGCAAUUGAUUCUCUUUCAGUGAGUGCAUGUAUGUUUUCUGAAACAAUUACCUAUCUGUUCUGGAAUAGCAAGAUGGAGGGGUGAAGAAAGGGUAGCACAGUUCUUUAGCCUUCUUUGUAUGCAGGCCAUAGUUUGUGGCCCAGCUUAGCCAAACCCAUUGAAGUAGGGCAGAGCACAAUGGUCCAGGUUCUCAGUGUAAGGCAGAUAUGGAGCAUGGCUUGAAGUCCAAGCCUGUCUUUUUGGUAGAGUACCCAGAACCAGACUGUGUUCCCAGAAGAGAGAACCUGGGAAAACAAAGACAAAAACAAAAACAAACAAACAAACAAAAAGCAACCAAAAUAUAAACAACAUACUACCUUGAAAGCAGAUAUCCUUGCCUGGGCUUUAUGCAGGGAUUCAUUCUCUGGUUAUGGAUUCAAAACUAGUUCUGCUACCAUCAGUUCCUUGUUACCUUAUCUCACCUUAUCUCCCACAAUAGCUUAUUCAGCCUCAGUCAUCUGGUUCCUCUGAGGCAGCAGACUACUCUGGAAUCUCAAAUCCUAUUGUAUUCCACAGCUAUCUUUGUAUCCCAAUUCAAGACACAGUCAUGCUUCUUGUAAAUAAUCACAGAGUAAUAAUCACAGAGUCUGUGGCUAUGGCAGUAAAUUGAACAUGUCUGGGAAUGUCCUAGGUACCAAGGCCAACAGCUAGUAAAUAGCCUUUACCUCCCAAAGAAGGUGGCUGCAGGCAAACAUUUUACUGGGAGUUGUCACUGGGUAGCUACAGCUGCUAAGUGGUGUCAGAGAAUUUGGGAGGAUUGUGGUAGCUGGAAUGUACCACAUUUGUGACAGGGAGCAUUCUAUGAGUUUGCUAUCACAGGAAGCCAAAUUCACAAGCAUACCUUUAUUUAUUA
rnacentral:lncRNA from 1 species